UAACACCUAGGUCUAGUUAGCUUGGUGAACUGUUUUCUGACACCUGAACAGAUUGGAAGCAGGGAAUCGAAGGUGAGGAAAGACUGCCACAAACAGGAGCCAAGAAUUAAGAGCCAAACCAAGGAGGUGACAUUCACGACGACAACUGUGGAUGGAAAUCCUGCCCAAAGGGGGAUGUUGGAUGAAUGGCUCCUAAGUCCCCUUCCAACAUUUCAGUUCAUGGCUCUGAGUGUCCCUGGUUUGAUUGUGAUGGUAAAGGCAGAUAAGAGGGCGAGGGAGACCUCUGUGGAGAGCUGGUGCCCAGCAGGAGCAAGAGUGAAUUCAUGCUCUUCUUCAUGGAGGUGGAUGUUUCUGGAAGGAGGUUUGUGAUGUCCUUUGCAGGGACAUGGAUGGAGUUGGAAGCCCUUAUCCUCAGCAAACUAAUGCAGGAACAGAAAACCAAACACUGCAUGUUCUUACUUAUAAGUGGGAACUGAAUGAUGAGAACACAUGGACACAUAAGGGGAAAUGACACACACUGGGGCCUGUCAGAGCUGAGGGGUUGUGGGGAGAGGGAGAGAAUCAGGAAUAAUGGCUAAUGUAUGCUGUGCUUAAUAUCUAGGUGAUGGGAUGAUCUGUGCAGCAAACCACCAUGGCACACGUUUACCUAUGUAACAAACCUGGACAUCCUGCACAUGUAUCCUGGAACU
rnacentral:lncRNA from 1 species